rnacentral:tRNA from 1 species
AAAUAAGAAGCAAAAUAUUGCCCUUAAUUUCGACUUAAGUCUUGAUUAUAAAAAUCCUUAUUUU